ensembl:lncRNA
CACUAACACACUGACAAUUACACAAUUAAGUUGAGGAUAUAAUAAUACUCCACCUGCUGAAUGAUGCCUUGCUUGAAAGUGAGUUUACUCAGAAAGAAUGUUUGAAAAGAUCUUCACAACUGGAAACAUCGUCAACAACAAAACCAUCAUGAUUAUUCUACUUGUAGCUAUACAUUUGAUGAAUUCACUUCUGGUUUCAGCAGGUUCCUCGGACAGUGAUCAAGUCGACCAGACUCCAGCAGACAUUUACACAAAAGGAGAAGAAGCUAAAAUCCACUGCUCACACAGUAAUCCAAACUUUUACACAAUCCUCUGGUACAAGCAGUCAGAGAAACAGCUGCAACUGCUUGGAUACACGAAUUAUGAUAAGAGUUAUCCAGAACCUGGAGUAAAUAUGACAAUGGACGGGGACGCAAGACAGCACAAGAACUGCACAUUAACAAUUGAGUAUCUCAAACUAAGCAGCAGUGGAGUGUACUUCUGUGCUGCUAGUUACCACAGUGCUG